ACAUUCCAGUAAUGGGAGACAGUUAAUUCGGUCCGUUGCGCUGCUUUGAAAAUUUCCACCCUUGACUUGCAAACAAACAAAAACACCAACCUUUAAGCUAAUGUCUUUCCCUGUGUGAAUAUAAUAACUUCUCCCGGUGACAGAAAUUCUGCUGUGAGUAGUGGCAAGCUUUGCUUUGUUGAAGCCUCCUGCAAACCCACAUUGUUUGAAGUCAUUACACACAGAGGAGCUGAAGCCUGGUGUUGGACUUACUAAUUCCCCCCAGAUGUAGAGAAACCACGAGGUAUUUCUGCCCCAGCCAAACCCAGGAGAUCCCUCGGCAUCAUAAGCUUGCUCUCGGCCCAGCAGUGUGUCCUGGCUGUUGUGCAACACUGCUCUCUAUGUGACACCUGUAGCGAGUGGAGUGAGUUGCUAUCACUGGGUACUUUGUAAAGCUCUGUGGGAUGCCCGAGGUUGCCAGUGGCUGUACACAAGCAAGAGCUUAAUGUUGCUGGAACACCGCCUGCAAACGAUGGUUGCUAGGAGGAGUUUCACCGGGAUGAGAAACAUAUUGCAAAACUACUUAAAACAGUAUUUUCAGCACCUCCAGAAACUCCCUGAUGGGAUUUCAAAGUCUUUGCUCACUACAGAGAUAUUUACACCCACUCCAGUCCUCCAGAGAAGAAUCAUUUCCUCAGGUUUUGACUGUGCUCAAUAAAAAGAGUACAUGUCUUUUGUUAGUGAAAAAAAAAACAAAAAACAUCGCAAUUUCCCCAGACAAGAAGAGAGUUGCUGUGAUCCUCACCUACUGAACGCUGAUGUGGCUCUAAGCAAUGUCAUAUAGCUUAUCCACCACCAGGGAGCAUUCCCCUCAUCUGUGAAAAAAAAACAUGGUUAAUUUUUUCUUCUCCAACCAAAAACUGGUCAAGGACAACUACUUAGAAAAGCACCAAAAUGCAAUUCCUUCUCUCAAUAAAACCUUCCAAGCUACAAAUAU